rnacentral:rRNA from 1 species
AAUGAACGUUGGCGGCGUGGAUUAGGCAUGCAAGUCGUGCGGAAAGGCUCCUUCGGGAGUACUCGAGCGGCGAAAGGGAGAGUAACGCGUGGAUAUCUACCCCCUGGUCUGGGAUAGCGGCGGGAAACUGCCGGUAAUACCAGAUAAUGUCUGCGGACCAAAGGUGUGAUUCCGCCGGGGGAUGAGUUCGCGUCCUAUUAGCUAGUUGGUAGGGUAACGGCCUACCAAGGCAAAAAUGGGUACCGGGUGUGAGAGCAUGGCCCGGCUCACUGGGACUGAGACACUGCCCAGACACCUACGGGUGGCUGCAGUCGAGAAUCUUCGGCAAUGGGCGCAAGCCUGACCGAGCGACGCCGCGUGCGGGAUGAAGGCCUUCGGGUUGUAAACCGCUGUCAGAGGGGAGGAAAUGCGUGAGAGUUCUCUCUCACGUUUGACCUAUCCUCAGAGGAAGUACGGGCUAAGUUCGUGCCAGCCGCCGCGGUAAAAC